rnacentral:rRNA from 1 species
CCUACGGGUGGCAGCAGUGGGGGAUAUUGCACAAUGGGGGAAACCCUGAUGCAGCGACGCCGCGUGGGUGAAGAAGUAUUUCGGUAUGUAAAGCCCUAUCAGCAGGGAAGAAAGAAGACGGUACCUGACUAAGAAGCCCCGGCUAACUACGUGCCAGCAGCCGCGGUAAUACGUAGGGGGCGAGCGUUAUCCGGAUGCACUGGGUGUAAAGGGAGCGUAGACGGCCGUGCAAGCCAGGAGUGAAAGCCCGGGGCCCAACCCCGGGAUUGCUCUUGGGACUGUGCGGCUGGAGUGCGGGAGGGGCAGGCGGAAUUCCUGGUGUAGCGGUGAAAUGCGUAGAUAUCAGGAGGAACACCGGCGGCGAAGGCGGCCUGCUGGACCGCGACUGACGUUGAGGCUCGAAAGCGUGGGGAGCGAACAGGAUUAGAUACCCGAGUAGUC